GCAUCACAUCCUAGAGAAGCACCUGUCCUAUGCCUUAAGAGUCUCAGCAGGAAAUGGAUGUCCAUAUAUCAGAGUCCAUUGUGAUGGAAAGCCUGAGAAGAAGAUUCAAUAGGAAGUGUUGUCUUGGCAUCCGGCAACUUUGGAGGGCCUCAAAUGGCCUCACUCCAUGUUCCCUUCCCACUCUGCUCCCACAGAUCAGAUCCCCUGGCCAAAAAGCCCUCCUUAGCACAGGGACCAGGCACAGUUUCUUCCCAAGUAAGCUCCAGUUCCCUGACAGCCUGUGCAAUGAUGUAGCAAAUGAAGAUUUGAAGGGGCUUUUGAAGAAAUGAACAAGGGAGUUGACCAUGGACAUUCCAGGUAAAAACUGCUUAAAGGAUGAUCCAGAGGGGCUACUUAAAUAAUUUAGGGUAGAACCAUAAGCUGCUGCGUUUUCAAUUAAAGAAGUAAGAUGGGAUUCAUUCCCAUUUCAAAUGGUCUCUAAGGCCGAGUGAUUGGGGGGGGGGGGGUGGACAGCAAGUCAGAGAAUAGUAUACUCCUAAACAGGCCAACAUACAUAAGGCCCGAGAGAAAUCAGGUUACCCAUAGCGUGCUUUGGCAGACAACAGAAAAGGAAAUGAUUUCUAAAAACUAGAAAAUAA